CGUACACUGAAAAAACGAACUUGGUGGUGUAGUAAAAUAUACUAAUUAAACUGUCCUAAUGUCUACAAUUAAAUUUUUCGUUUCUGCUGGAACUAGAUUUUGUCAAGUAAAAUUACAUGUAUGUACACAAUUUAUUUAUGUAUUUAAAAUGGCUGUGUGGAAGGAGUAAGUCUUAUUAUGGAUGUUUUCAUAACAUUUAAAUGUUUUUUAGUCUCUGCUAGAAACACUAAAAUACUGAGUAAAUUUUACGACACUAUUUUAGAGUGCGUUUGAAUCAGCGCAUGCGCAUUGGGACAAACGAAAGAACCGCGCAGAUGUCCAUUGUCCGUUCGUUGGCAGCAGACAGAGUUGUGAAUAUCUCCGGAAUCUCUCAGGCGACUGUUUUUGUAUUUAGCCGGCUGGGACAUGAGGUGACCAGAGAGUCAGGAGCGCUGGGCUGUUCAGUGACUAAUCAAAUACUGCACCGUUGUGAUUAGUUCAGAUCAAGAUCUACAGAUCAAGGAGGAGUUUUGGAGAAUAACUACAAUUUCUCUAGAGCAAAGCUUCAUGUACAAACUAGACCACUAUACACCAAAGCUUACUGCCCUGAUGAAAGCCAAGGGAGGUGUUGUGGGGACCAGGCUGAGGCCCCAUCUGGAUAAACUGAGUCAGAACCCAAGCACUGACAUGAGACGUGACGCAGUAAUCCGUGGCCUCAUACUAUUCCUUGGUGAAAAAGAAGAGAAACUUUUCGAAGAUUGCCUGGAGGACAAUCGCAGUGAUGCCACUCAACACAUAGUCAAGAUCCUGGUUGUCCAUGGUACUGAUGGAGAAGAACCAGUAGAUGUUUCCAUCAUUCUUGAAGGGAAGGAGGUAUUGACAGGAUGCCAAAGCUUGCACGUUGCUAAUGGGACUGAUUUAUUCCCUGAACCUUGCC
ensembl:lncRNA